rnacentral:rRNA from 1 species
GGAGUUAGCCGGUGCUUCUUCUGCGAGUAACGUCACAGCUAGCAGGUAUUAACUACUAACCUUUCCUCCUCGCUGAAAGUGCUUUACAACCCGAAGGCCUUCUUCACACACGCGGCAUGGCUGCAUCAGGGUUUCCCCCAUUGUGCAAUAUUCCCCACUGCUGCCUCCCGUAGGAGUCUGGGCCGUGUCUCAGUCCCAGUGUGGCUGAUCAUCCUCUCAGACCAGCUAGGGAUCGUUGCCUAGGUGAGCCAUUACCUCACCUACUAGCUAAUCCCACCUGGGCUUAUCCAUCAGCGCAAGGACCGAAGUUCCCCUGCUUUCCCCCGUAGGGCGUAUGCGGUAUUAGCAGUCGUUUCCAACUGUUAUCCCCACAAAUGGGCAAAUUCCCAGGCAUUACUCACCCGUCCGCCGCUCGUCAUCUUCAAAAGCAAGCUUUUGAAAUGUUACCGCUCGACUUGCAUGUGUUAGGCCUGCCGCCAGCGUUCAAUCUGAGCCAUGAUCAAACUCUGA